UAGCAAGUCUCCAGUGUGCUAGAGUCUGCCGUGAUCUGUGCCUUCCUACAACACUUACAGAACCGUUUUGAAAUUGUUUGAGGCCUUGUCCUGGUCCUUCCAGAGCAAGGUUAUAGAAAUUUCAGACAAUU
rnacentral:snoRNA from 1 species